rnacentral:lncRNA from 1 species
CGCCACUGACCUUGCGCUCACCACCGGCUCUAUGCCUAUGUGCGGCCCGCACCAGCUGCCGCCCCUACACCGUCGCGCCGACCCCGCAGGAACGCCGCCUGGGGUGCGCCGCUGACCUCUCAAGUGCUACCCCGCCGUCGCUCCUGCAGGCAUGACGCAGCUCACGCGCUUGUCCCACCGCUGGCCAUCCCUUACGGGCUUGCCACAGCCCACACGUGCCUGCCCCGCCGUCACCGCCAUCCCCCACGGAUGCAUGGCCAUCGCACGCUUACC